rnacentral:rRNA from 1 species
AACGAACGCUGGCGGCAUGCCUAACACAUGCAAGUCGAACGAGACCUUCGGGUCUAGUGGCGCACGGGUGCGUAACGCGUGGGAACCUGCCCUUAGGUUCGGAAUAACUCCCCGAAAGGGGUGCUAAUACCGGAUAAUGUCUUCGGACCAAAGAUUUAUCGCCUUUGGAUGGGCCCGCGUUGGAUUAGCUAGUUGGUAGGGUAAAAGCCUACCAAGGCGACGAUCCAUAGCUGGUCUGAGAGGAUGAUCAGCCACACUGGGACUGAGACACGGCCCAGACUCCUACGGGAGGCAGCAGUGGGGAAUAUUGGACAAUGGGCGAAAGCCUGAUCCAGCAAUGCCACGUGAGUGAUGAAGGCCUUAGGGUUGUAAAGCUCUUUUACCCGGGAUGAUAAUGACAGUACCGGGAGAAUAAGCUCCGGCCAACUCCGUG